rnacentral:rRNA from 1 species
CAUGCAGUCGAACGAGCUGUUCUCUGACUCGCAAGAGAAGGAGAGGAGCGAGUGGCGGACGGGUGAGGAACACGUGGGUGACCUACCUUUCAGUGAGGAAUACCGGCGAGAAAUUGCCGACAAUACCGCAUGAGCUUCCCCCCGCAAAGGGGAAGGAAAGCUUUUUCUUUUGCGAGAGAGAGAAGGCGCUGGGAGAUGGGCCCGCGGCCGAUUAGCUAGUUGGUGGGGUAAGAGCCUACCAAGGCGUCGAUCGGUAGCUGGUCUGAGAGGACGAUCAGCCACACUGGGAUUGAGAACGGCCCAGACUCCUACGGGGGGCAGCAGUGAGGAAUUUUCGGCAAUGGGGGCAACCCUGACCGAGCAACGCCGCGUGCAGGACGAAGGUUUUCGGAUCGUAAACUGCUUUUCUCGGGGAAGAGAACGGACGGUACCCGAGGAAGAAGCCCCGGCUAACUACGUGCCAGCAGCCGCGGUAAUACGUAGGGGGCGAGCGUUGUCCGGAGUUACUGGGCGUAAAGCGCACGCAGGCGGUCGUGUAAGUUUGGGGUUACAGCUCCCGGCUCAACUGGGAGAGCGCCUUGAAGACUGCAGGACUUGAGGGCCAAAGAGGGACACAGAAUUCCGGGUGUAGUGGUGAAAUGCGUAGAUAUCCGGAGGAAUACCAAAGGCGAAGGCAGUGUCCUGGUUGGCACCUGACGCUCAGGUGCGAAAGCUAGGGGAGCGAACGGGAUUAGAUACCCCGGUAGUCCUAGCCGUAAACGAUGACCACUAGGUGUGCGGGGUAUCGACCCCCUGCGUGCCGGAGCCAACGCAUUAAGUGGUCCGCCUGGGGAGUACGGUCGCAAGAUUAAAACUCAAAGGAAUUGACGG